rnacentral:rRNA from 1 species
UACGUAGGUGGCAAGCGUUGUCCGGAAUUAUUGGGCGUAAAGCGCGCGCAGGCGGCCUCUUAAGUCUGAUGUGGAAAGCCCCCGGCUCAACCGGGGAGGGCCAUUGGAAACUGGGAGGCUUGAGUAUAGGAGAGAAGAGUGGAAUUCCACGUGUAGCGGUGAAAUGCGUAGAGAUGUGGAGGAACACCAGUGGCGAAGGCGACUCUUUGGCCUAUAACUGACGCUGAGGCGCGAAAAGCGUGGGGGAG